CUACGGGAGGCAGCAGUGGGGAAUCUUGGACAAUGGGCGAAAGCCUGAUCCAGCCAUGCCGCGUGAGUGAAGAAGGCCUUAGGGUUGUAAGACUCUUUCGCCGGUGAAGAUAAUGACGGUAGCCGGAGAAGAAGCCCCGGCUAACUUCGUGCCAGCAGCCGCGGUAAUACGAAGGGGGCUAGCGUUGUUCGGAAUUACUGGGCGUAAAGCGCACGUAGGCGGAUUGGAAAGUUGAGGGUGAAAUCCCAGGGCUCAACCCUGGAACUGCCUUCAAAACUUCUAAUCUUGAGAUCAGUAGAGGCGAGCGGAAUACCGAGUGUAGAGGUGAAAUUCGUAGAUAUUCGGUGGAACACCAGUGGCGAAGGCGGCUCGCUGGACUGAUACUGACGCUGAGGUGCGAAAGCGUGGGGAGCAAACAGGAUUAGAAACCCUAGUAGUCC
rnacentral:rRNA from 1 species